rnacentral:rRNA from 1 species
GACGAAGGGGGCUAGCGUUGCUCGGAAUUACUGGGCGUAAAGCGCACGUAGGCGGGUCGUUAAGUCGGGGGUGAAAUCCUGGAGCUCAACUCCAGAACUGCCCUCGAAACUGGCGAUCUUGAGUUCGGGAGAGGUGAGUGGAACUGCGAGUGUAGAGGUGAAAUUCGUAGAUAUUCGCAAGAACACCAGUGGCGAAGGCGGCUCACUGGCCCGAUACUGACGCUGAGGUGCGAAAGCGUGGGGAGCAAACAGG